rnacentral:rRNA from 1 species
AGUAUUCAAUUGUCAGAGGUGAAAUNCUUGGAUUUAUUGAAGACUAACUACUGCGAAAGCAUUUGCCAAGGAUGUUUUCAUUAAUCAAGAACGAAAGUUAGGGGAUCGAAGACGAUCAGAUACCGUCGUAGUCUUAACCAUAAACUAUGCCAACUAGGGAUCGGAUGAUGUUAAUUUUUUAAUGACUCA